AGGGAACCACACUGUAAUUAGUUCUUAGUACAUGGUGGUGACUCUCCCUUAUUUUCAUUAACACCACCACCAUCUUUAUCGUGUGAAGUGUCCUAGAAACACCAGCACAUUAAUAAUUAGAAGACAUAGGACCUAUAUGGCAGGCCACUGCCUGGCUCCAAUGUGCAGGUAGGAGAUGAGGCCUGUUUCCAGUACCCCAGGAUUGGUAUUGGGGAGCUCAGGGGUGGGACGAGAGGGAGGGACACCCCCAUGUUGUGCGUUCUGAAUUCCAAAAACCUUGAAGUUCAUUCUGAAGCCGAAGGGUGGCAGGGAUGGCAUCACUUUACUCUGGUGAUAUCAAUGGUUCCUGCUCAGCACUUUGUAUACCAUUUUCCUGAAAGCUUGGGAAAAAAGAUGUCGGUAAUAAGGGCUUUAUGGAGAAAAAUGUAACAAGAUUGAAGGGACUGAGCCCAGAUGUCUUUAAAAUGACUAAUGUCAGAGCAGAUGUCCAUGGCUCAGGAAAAUGGGCUGUGAAGUCAGGUGAAACAAGGAAAGAGAUCAUAUGGUUGAUGGAGAUACGAGAGGCAAACAGCAAGUUGUCCCUCCACUUGAGUCUGCCGUCCCAUCGCGUCAGCUGAGGAAGCUGACACUGGUGGGAAAUGUCCGAUGAGAUUUCCACAGAAACUGCGAAGACCCUAAUAUCCUGAAGGGGAGGGGCUGUUGAUGAGCUCAUUGAGAGGAGAACUGUGAAAGGACCACAACCUUGUCAGAAUUGGACAUCUCCCCAAUCCAGAAUAAGGUCCCAGAACCCUCCAGCCCUGGCCAUGCUGCUCCUCUGCUGGACGUUCAUCACCACUGCUGGUGGUCACGACAAAGCUCAGGUUUGACUAUUCACAGUAGUCAAAGGGUGGAAACAACCCUGAUGUCCACCAGCUGAAGAAUGGAUGACCAAAUGCAAUCUAUCCAAGCAAUGGGAUCUCAUUCACUCAUAAAGCAAAUGAAGUUCUGACACAGCUGCAACGUGGAUGGACCUUGGAAACGUGAUACUGGGUGGAAGAAGGCAGACACCAAAGGCCACACAUUGCAGGACUCCAUUUAUGAGAAUGUUCAGAGUCGGCAAAUCCAGGGAGAAAGGAAGUAGAUUAGUGAUUGCCAGGGGUCAUGGAAGGGGAGGGAAUAAGAAGUGACUGCUAAAGCCUGAGGAAUCUUUAUGGGGUGAUGAAAAUAUUCUGGAAUUAGUGAAGGGGUGAGGGUGAGGUUGUGCCUCUCAGAAGGAGAUGGCAGGAGUUGUGUGGAGUUUCUGAACUUGAUGUGGAGCGA
rnacentral:lncRNA from 1 species